rnacentral:rRNA from 1 species
CUACGGGCUGCUGCAGUGAGGAAUUUUGCGCAAUGGGGGAAACCCUGACGCAGCAACGCCGCGUGAGCGAAGAAGGCCUUCGGGUCGUAAAGCUCUGUCAAGUGGGAAAAAAAUCUUUUGACCAAUAGUCAAAAGACUUGAUGGUACCACUGGAGGAAGCACCGGCUAACUCCGUGCCAGCAGCCGCGGUAAUACGGAGGGUGCAAGCGUUGUUCGGAUUUACUGGGCGUAAAGAGCGUGUAGGCGGUUUAGCAAGUCAGAUGUGAAAGCCCUGGGCUCAACCCGGGAAGUGCAUUUGAAACUGCUUCACUAGAGUAUGGGAGAGGAGAUUGGAAUUCCUGGUGUAGAGGUGAAAUUCGUAGAUAUCAGGAGGAACACCCGUGGCGAAGGCGAUUCUCUGGACCAAUACUGACGCUGAGACGCGAAAGCGUGGGGAGCAAACAGGAUUAGAUACCCGCGUAGUC